GUCUCAGAUAGCCUAACUAAUAGAGCCUCGGGCGCGCAACCAGAUGAGCUGGGUUCGAGUCCCGGUCUAGACU
rnacentral:tRNA from 1 species